rnacentral:lncRNA from 1 species
CAAGCUGGACCACUGCAGGGCCCCUGCUGUCCCCAAACGGCUUCUCCGCUUUGAUGGGCUGUGGCUGCCCUUCACUCACCAGGCUCUGGUCUCCUUUGGCUGACAGCGGGGCCUCGACGCUGCUCGUGGAUGGGCUCCUUGGGGCCAGGUGAGGGUUGAGGUCAAAGAUGAGCUGGAGAUCCACCUGCUUGCCCUUGUUGGUCCCUUUCUCGAUCCACUCAACAGUGAUGCUGGAGGUGCUUUCAUGAAGCUCUGUCACCAGCGCUGGAUGGAUGCGCCCAUCGCUGCGCUUGAUCUCCACGUAGGUGCCCAGCUGGAUGAGCCCGAACUCCCCGGCCAUGCUGUCUCUGGGCACUGGCCACAGCCGUGGAGUGGAGGAGCCCCUGGCUGGGACAGGCAGGGCUGGAGUCCCCUGGGGCUCUGUGUUCCAACGCCCAGUGUCCUGUCACAAUGGCCCUCAUGGCUACAGAACCGGCUUGAACAUAUAUGUGUUUUUAACCAGCUUCUAUGGCUAGAAGGAACAUAUAAAGCUGCCACCACCCGAAAAGGCCUAUUUGAGUAUCCAAGCUGGCACACAGCUGCUGUGACACAUCGUGUCCAAUUAGAUUUAACAUUUUAA